GACGCACGGGCAGACACGCAUUUGCUGCAGCUUCUGGGUGUGCUUCUUGAGAGUCACCUGCAGUGGUGCUGCAACCCGAGUGAGUGGGUGGGAGCCUCCCGGAGGCCCUGGAGAUUAGAGUGGCCUCAGAGCAAGCCUUUGAGCUCCACGCACUUGGGUGCUGCAGACUGAAGUGCUGCGGAAGGCUCCCUUACCUUUGCUCCCCCAGCCUCCGAAUGGUUGUAUAAACCUCUAUUUCCCUGUAUCCAAAACUGUGAAGAAGAGGCGACAACGACCCCAGGACAGAUCAAAGCCCAUGCCGCUGUAUCCCACGUGCCCAGCGCCUACCUCCCGCCGCUGUUGCCGCCACCACCGUGCCCAGGAGAAAGACUGAAGGUGAUGCUAAAGGAGAUAGAACCAACAUGAAGGACGAACCACAGAGAGGAUCCACGAGAUUUUCUGCUAAGCCUGCUCCCCGAAAGCCAGAGCCUAAACCUAAAAAGGCCCCUGAAAAGAAGGCAGAGAAGGUACCCAAAAAGGAAAAGGGAAAAGCUGAGGCUGGCAAGGAGGGGAAUAACCCUGCAGAAAAUGGAGAUUCCCAAACAGAUCAGACACAGAAAGCUGAAGGUGCUGCAGAUGCCAAGUGAAGCGUGUGCAUUUUUGAUAACUGUGUACUUCUGGUGACUGUAUAGUCUGAAAUGCUAUUUUUUAUCAAGUUUUAUAAAAAUGUAGACUUUGUUUUACCUUUUUUUUAAGCUAUGUUGUUAGCACACAGAACACUUCAUUGUGUUUUUUGGGGAAGGCCAUAUGUCACUAACACAAUGUCUCCGAAGCUGGAUUGACGUGUGGAAAACCCCUUUCCCUUCUAGUUUUGGGAGACUUGCUCUUGGCUCCCAGGAGGGGUGAUUCCCUGACUUUGACACCCAAGGCACCUUGGCACAAAAGCCUUGUGGGACGGAAAAACAAAUUCGUUUUUAUGUCCUCUUCUCCUUUUCCACCUUUCAGCAUAGACUUAACUCCCUUAAGCCCAGACACCUGUUGGGACCUGACCUUCAAUAAUUGGCUACCGGUGUGUCAGGCAAUCUGGACUUUCCAGUGAUGCCACUGAGAUGGAACCCCUCGAAAAAGCAGUGGUUCCGUUUCUAGAUUGUGGAUCUUCAGAAAAAUUCUGUCAUUUUCAUUUCAUUUCCUGAAGGUCAGGGUCAACUCGUGAAACAUUGUUAAACAACAUGCUAAAUGUGAAACAUCAACCUCACUCUCAACUUUCCCUGUUUAGAGCAUCAGAUGAGGACUUCAUUUGGGUUUUACAGUGGCUUUCUGAUUUUGGGUAGUCCAUUGAAGAAGGGAGUUUGAAAGUCACUGCAUACUGUUAACGAUUGUCUGCCCAUGUCCUGCCUGAAAUGCCAUGAUUGUUUAUGGACAGUAUCUUUAAUACAGCUGGAUACAGUUUGGCUUGGGGAAAAAAAGAAAUAAUAUUUUAUAUAUGUUUGGUUAAAUGAAAUAUUUCAAUUCA